GCUGACACAUCCCUGCCAAUCUCCAGCAGACCCUCCCUCCCAGACCCUCCCACCUCCUGGACAGCAUCCAUGUUGAAGCUGCCUUCAACAUGGAUGCUGUCCAGGAGGUAGGAGGGUCUGGGAGGGAGGGUCUGCUGGAGAUUGGCUGGGAUGUGUCAG
rnacentral:miRNA from 1 species